rnacentral:rRNA from 1 species
CGGAUUAGCGGCGGACGGGUGAGUAACACGUGAGUAACUUGCCUUAGACAUCAGGAUAGCCUCGGGAAACCGGGAUUAAUACCAAAUAAAAUCAUAAUGACACAUGUCAUAACGAUCAAAACUCCGGUGGUCUAAGAUGGACUCGCGUCCCAUUAGCUAGUUGGUAGAGUAAAAGCCUACCAAGGCGACGAUGGGUAGCCGGCCUGAGAGGGUGAACGGCCACAUUGGAACUGAGAAACGGUCCAA